GGGCGUGUGGCGGAACUGGCAGACGCGUACGGUUGAGGGCCGUAUGGGGCAACCCAUGGAGGUUCGAAUCCUCUCACGCCCACCA
rnacentral:tRNA from 1 species